AUGAGAAACUCGUUGAGCAUUACCGCUGAGCUUACCUCCCUUUGGCCCUCUACACCAUUUUUAUCAAACCAUUUGCCUAGCACACAAAAAACUCAUAUUGAAUCCUUAUGUUGGGGCUCUAACGCCUUUGCUUUGCUAUACACCAAGUUCAUGCUUUACACCCUCCUUUUUAUUUGCUUGCCUUAUUUUUAUUUUAUUUUCUCUUUAUUAAAUAUUCUUUUAAUAUUUAUUUUCAUAAAAAAAAAUAUUAGAAUAGGAUUUUAA